UGAUGGGUAUGUAAAUUGUGCAAGUGAAGAACAGAGAAGAUUAAUACUGAAAUGAGAAUUAUAUUGAUGAAGGUAAGGAGUAAUACAGGAAUAGAAAAAGAUAGAUGGUGUAUUGUUAGAGAAAGCUCUAACAACCCAGAGAAGCUCUAAUGGCUCUCUUCCUAGAAAGAUUCCUCUUUCUCUCUCCUAUAACCGAAUUUGAUUCUCAUCCCUCCCUCUCACCCCACACCUCACUACUCUAUAUACUAACUUACUAACUAACUCCCUCCUCUCCAUUUUGCCUGAGACACCUCAGCACCUUUCCCUUUCUUUCUUUCAUAAACUUUCCACACCUUGGGCUUUCCUAAGCCCAUUUCCCCUUUUGUGUUCGAGUCUCUAUCAAUUCCCUCCCCCUUAGAAACAGCCUUGUCCUCAAGGCAGAAGUNNNNNNNNNNNNNNNNNNNNNNNNNNNNNNNNNNNNNNNNNNNNNNNNNNNNNNNNNNNNNNNNNNNNNNNNNNNNNNNNNNNNNNNNNNNNNNNNNNNNNNNNNNNNNNNNNNNNNNNNNNNNNNNNNNNNNNNNNNNNNNNNNNNNNNNNNNNNNNNNNNNNNNNNNNNNNNNNNNNNNNNNNNNNNNNNNNNNNNNNNNNNNNNNNNNNNNNNNNNNNNNNNNNNNNNNNNNNNNNNNNNNNNNNNNNNNNNNNNNNNNNNNNNNNNNNNNNNNNNNNNNNNNNNNNNNNNNNNNNNNNNNNNNNNNNNNNNNNNNNNNNNNNNNNNNNNNNNNNNNNNNNNNNNNNNNNNNNNNNNNNNNNNNNNNNNNNNNNNNNNNNNNNNNNNNNNNNNNNNNNNNNNNNNNNNNNNNNNNNNNNNNNNNNNNNNNNNNNNNNNNNNNNNNNNNNNNNNNNNNNNNNNNNNNNNNNNNNNNNNNNNNNNNNNNNNNNNNNNNNNNNNNNNNNNNNNNNNNNNNNNNNNNNNNNNNNNNNNNNNNNNNNNNNNNNNNNNNNNNNNNNNNNNNNNNNNNNNNNNNNNNNNNNNNNNNNNNNNNNNNNNNNNNNNNNNNNNNNNNNNNNNNNNNNNNNNNNNNNNNNNNNNNNNNNNNNNNNNNNNNNNNNNNNNNNNNNNNNNNNNNNNNNNNNNNNNNNNNNNNNNNNNNNNNNNNNNNNNNNNNNNNNNNNNNNNNNNNNNNNNNNNNNNNNNNNNNNNNNNNNNNNNNNNNNNNNNNNNNNNNNNNNNNNNNNNNNNNNNNNNNNNNNNNNNNNNNNNNNNNNNNNNNNNNNNNNNNNNNNNNNNNNNNNNNNNNNNNNNNNNNNNNNNNNNNNNNNNNNNNNNNNNNNNNNNNNNNNNNNNNNNNNNNNNNNNNNNNNNNNNNNNNNNNNNNNNNNNNNNNNNNNNNNNNNNNNNNNNNNNNNNNNNNNNNNNNNNNNNNNNNNNNNNNNNNNNNNNNNNNGAAUUCUUGAAUUUUCCUGAGGCGAAGAAGGCCUUAGGGGUGAAGGUGAAUGAAUCGUUUGUGUACGAGUUGUGCAGUGAUGUUGUUGGGGCUGUGUUACAUGCUGAUGUGAUGAAGAGUGUGAAAUACAUGGUGGAGGACUUGGUGAGGAAGAGCAGGGUGUUGUUGUAUCAGGGUCAGUAUGAUUUGAGGGAUGGUGUGGUCCAAACUGAGGCUUGGGUGAAGACAAUGAAAUGGGAGGGGAUUGAGCAGUUUCUUAAUGCGGAAAGGAAGAUUUGGAAGGUGAAUGGUGAGCUUGCUGGGUAUGUGCAAAAUUGGAAGUCUUUGACCAAUGCUGUGGUUUUGGGGGCUGGCCAUCUUUUGCCUACUGACCAGGCUGUGAAUUCUCAAGUAAUGAUUGAAGAUUGGGUUUUGGAAAGGGGUUCGUUUAAAAGUGUCGUCCAGCAGGAAAAAGUAUCAGGAAGUUCUAAACUUGCUGUGGAACUAUCUAAGAUUAACCGUUAGCAUGAUUGGAUCAGUUUCUCUUUCAUCACCAGAAUCAAUUCUGAAUUUCAGAAGCUACAGAAGCUUCUCUCUAGCUCGAAUCAAAUCAGCUGUAAAAGGAUUUCUACACACGCACGCAUUGUGAGUUGUAAAUGUUAUUAUUGAGCUGUAUUCUACUACAUUGAAUGAAUAAACAUGGAAAAAAUGUACUGUUAAGCAACGUUAAUCAAUUUGUAAUCUUGUAAGCAUGUUUAGUUUUUUAUGGAAUUACAUUAAAUUCUUAUGGCAGUUUCCUCCCAGCAGUGCAACUGAAAAGGAAGUCACUGUUGUACCAAAAUAGAUAUCCUCAAAAAAUAUAAAAAAACAGUUCUCAACAUUUUUUGAUUAAAUGACUAAAGGACAGUAUUAAUGAGCCUCAUAAUUAGCUUCCAGGUGUAGACGGAUCUACACCUUUUAAAGGGCUUAACCGCUUUACUUUAGGAAGAUGCAUGACAGUCCAGGUGUGAUUAGCUUCCAUAGCAUCAAGUUUCUCUUUCAUUGCAAGUCUCCAUUCAAGAAAUUGAGUAGCUUAGUGUUAGAAGUGGGACUCAUGUACUGCAGAUGUCUGGAAAAUAAAUUUCUAAUAAGCAGUGAAAUAUGGUAGUUCUGGUGGGUUUUCUGAUAAGUUAGGAACUGAGAUAGGUGCAGGGCCUGAAAUAGGGGGAUAAAACUGUAAGUGGGAAUGGCUCUGCUAUAUCAUGUGAAAGGGAAUGAAAAGGAAAGGGAAUUUCUCAUGAAAAAUCACAUCAUAAGAAAUGAAGAAUUUUCUGGUGGAUAAAUUAUAUAACAUGUAUUCUUUUAUAGCCAUUGGGAUAGCUAGCAAAGAUAGAAGAAAUAGCUUUUUUUCUAUAAACUUGUGUCUCUAUGAUGGGAGAGUAUAUGCAAAGGCCAAUCAUCCAAAACGAAUAUAAUAGUUGAUAAGGAAAUAAGACUGCAACUUAAGAUUGGUAGCUGGAACUCUAUUGAUAAAGAACACUGCAGUCUUCAAACAUCACCCCAAAAGGACUAGGGAACCUGAGACUGAAAAUAGAGAGAUCAAAUUGUUGAGACCUCUCAAUGCAGCUGAAUUAGAGCGUGCCUUUGGAUGUAAAAAAGUUCCAUAAGCAAGCUCUUUCUUAUUGUCUGAUAAUAACUGUUGGAUGGUCUUAUGAAAUUGAGAGUUUCAAUGAGACUGAAAAAUUGAUUAAUGAAGGUAGGGCCUGUGAUUUUUUGUGCAUCAAGUAAAUCCAAUUGAAGAGUAAGAGUAUUCACAAUGGAUCAGACCAAAACAAGCUGCAGGAAAUAUGAUUUAGGAAUGGAGAAAUACCCUUUAUUACUGAGAAGUUUGAGACAUUUAGACCUUAUUUGGAAAGCAUGAACGAAAGAAAAGAAAAUGUAUUUGAGAAAACAUAAAUUCCAAUGUUUUUUUUUUUAUUUCUUUUAGUCCAAGAGAACAUAUAGAGAGAAAAAAAGUUAUGGUCAGCCACUCAGCCCCACACAAUAUUUAUAUCAUUUGCAUAUAUACAUUUUUUACAUUUCUCUUACUUUUCUUUUAUUUUUUCUUAAACCAAACAAUUAGAAAUUUAUUUCAUUUUCUACUCUCUUUUCUCCUUUCAUUUCAUUUUAUUGUCUCGUAUUUUUCUUCAACAUAUCAAACAUACCCUUAAGAGACAAAAUGCCUUGCCACAUGUUGAAUUGUUGUAUUUUGGUGGCUGUUGCUCGCGCAACAGGAAGGGAUGAGGCUUCUGAAUUGCCUUGGCUUUGAUCUUGGGUUGUGCAGUCUCUUUUCACCUCUUGAAACUGUACAGAUUGAGUUUGGGUCGCUGCUGCUGUUUGGUAUUGGGAAUAUUAUUUUGCUGGGUCCUCUUCUAAGUAAAUUGCAUUCUAGGAUAACAUUAUUUGCUGAUCUUUUGUUUACUAUAGUUUCCUUCAAGUUGUAACGUCAGUUGAUCAAUAUGAUAAUCGCUCUGUAUAUCAUCAUUGUAUUUAGCCUAGCAUCCGGCCUUGUGCUAUUUUUAAUACAAUACUUUAGCUUAUAAAAAAAAGGCUUAAAUAAGUUUUUGGUCCCUAACCUUUACAAAAUGCUUGGUUUUCGUCCCUCGCCGGAGCAAAGGUGGGUUUUAGUCCCUAACCUUUGCCAAAAGGUUUGGUUUUCAUCCCUCCGGAGCUCUGGGUCAACGCCGGAGCUCCGGUGGCCUAUGUGGCAUGGCCACGUGGGAUUAAUGAGCUGACGUGGAAUUUAUUUUUUUCAUUUAAAUUAAAAAAACCUAAUUAAUUUAAAAAAAAGAAAUUGUUUAAAAUUCUAAAAAAUUAAAAAAGUCUUAACUUAUUUAUCUAAUUUUAAUUAAAUCAUUAAUAUCUAAUCCUCCUCCAUAAUCAUCUCCGAUGAAUCAAUAACACAAAAUCUGGAAACAAAUAAAGAAGAAUUAAGAAAUUAAAAAACAACAUGAAACAAAAGAAUUCCUUGGGAAUUAGAUUUCCCACCCCUGGGUUUAGAAUUGCCACCCCAUUUAAAAGUGGGGAAAAACCAAUAUUGCCCCUCCGUGUUUUAGUCCGAAUGUAUAACAUUCGGACUCCUCCGAAUUUUCAAAUGUCGGACUCAGUUAAUAAUAUUGCCCCUCCGUGUUUUAGUCCGAAUGUUAUACAUUCGGACUCCUCCGAAUUUUCAAAUGUCGGACUCAGUUAAUAAUAGAACAAAACUAUCAAUUCAGAUUCACAUUUGUAACGGGACAGAACAUCAACUCUCGGACUGGUUCAGGAGAAGCGACCCAGAGGCACCCAAAUCGACCCACACAUCACGACCAAAAGCAACCAAGAAUCAUCUGUGAUUCAAAACCGACCACACUGAGGUAAUUUGUUGGAAUCCACGACCAAGAAUCAUGUGUAUUUUGAAUCAUGUGUAUUUUGAUGAGUUAGUGUUGUAAUUUCAAAUUUAGGGUUUCAAAUUUAGGUAUUUCAGAUUAGGUUAGGUUUCGAAUCCCUUUUUAUGAGUUGAUUUGGUGAAAUUUCAUUCCUAUUGUGAUUUGUGGGGUAUAUGGGGUUCUGAGGUGCGAAUUUGGGGAUAUUCGUACUCCGAAUCUUGAAGAUUCGGACUGGUUCAGGACUUCAAGAUUCGGACUGGUCCAGGACUUCAAGAUUCGGACUUGAGAGAUUCAGUACUGUCUCUCCUAUUGCUUCUGUUAUUGUUUUUCAUGAUAAGAUGAAUGGGGUGAAGAUAAUUUCCAUGCUUUUGGCUAUCUUAGGGUAGUGGUUAAGGACAUAACCAACUUGAGAUUUCACAUUUGAAUUUCAUAACAUUAUUUGAAUUGUAUUGAAAUUUCAUAACAUUAGUUUACUGUGUAUACUUGUGGAUUGCUUCAACUAGUUAGUUACUCAUUACAUAGCUAUUAAUCUGUUUUCCUUAUUUUUUCUGAUAGAUUAUGGCGAGGACAAAGCAAACUAAGAGGGUAUCGUCUGAAGAGUUGGCCGAUCGUCGUGCCUAUCUCCACGCUUCUCAUAGGCGAGGUGAUCAUGAUACAGAUGUGUCGACUUCUCGGAAGCGGGCUAGGAAGGGGGCUCCGAAGGCGACCACUGAGGUUCCUGCCCCUGCUACUGAGGUUCCUGCUACUCAGGUUCCUGAUACUGAGGUUCCUGCCCCUGCUACUGAGGUUCCUGCUACUCAGGUUCCUGCUACUGAGGUUCCUGCUCUCUCGACGCCUGAGGUUACUGCUACUGAGGUUUCUCCUCAGUCGACGCCUGAGGUUACCGCCCACGAUACUGUUGAGCCUUCCACCUCUUCACUUGAUAUUGAUGCAGUUGAGGAGUCGGAGUCGGAGUCGGAGUCGGAGUCGGGGUCGGAGUCGGGGUCUGAGUCUGAGAUUGAGGGUGAGGAUGUAGAGGUAGAGGAUCCGAAUAUGCCGCCGCUCCAGAGAGAUCCACCGUUUCCUGGUGGGCCGGUUGAGUUGUCACUUCUGCAGCAUUACCCGGAUCACAUAGCGCCGUGGACGUGGCAUACCCUACUAGGCACCACUGACCCUCGUUAUUCUGAGCGAGGUGAUUUGAGGCUUGCCACUGCUGGUACGAAGCUCGGGCUGAUGACGUGUGAGGGGGACAAUUACAGGGAGGUCCGCUUGAUUGUGGAGAGGAGCGGACUGUAUCCACUGGUCAGGUGCAGCUAUGUAGAGACGGAUCCAGGGCUUAUAUCGGCCCUUGUGGAGAGGUGGCACGAGGAGACUAGUAGUUUCCACAUGCCAUUUGGGGAGAUGACUGUCACCCUUGACGACGUCUCCGCUCUUCUUCACAUCCCGGUUGGUGGGAGAUUCUACACUCCAGGAGUGGCCUCGAGAUAUGAUGUGGCAGAGACCUGCGCUUUGCUGUUAGGGGGGGAUGCAGAUUUGUACAUGGCUGAGUUUGAUAAGCUUAGGGGUCCGACUAUGAGGUUCAGCUUCUUGCGAGACCUUUACCCGAAAGCUGUUGCAGGUUUGUUUCAUUCAUUAUCUGAACUUUUUCCAACUAUUAUUUAUAUUUACUUAAUCAUAAUUGGUAUUACAUUGUAAUGUAGAGGGGCGGUACGAGCAUGCAGCCAGGAUGUACCUGAUGCAUCUUGUUGGCGCGACAUUGUUCGCCGACAAGAGUGGGGGGCACUCAUUCUCCGCCCGUUGGAUAGGCAUGCUACAGGAUCUUGAGCGGGUGUCGGAGUUCGCGUGGGGCGCCAUGGCCCUUGCCACGUUGUACGACCAGCUUGGACAGUCUUCUCGCAGCGGGGUCAAACAGUUGGCCGGUUACACUUCCCUGUUGAUGGCCUGGGUCUUUGAGCACUUUCCAGACAGGCUCGUUCGCCGGUAUGCGAACCCGGCUUACACAGAGGACCAGCCCAGAGCUCGUAGGUGGACAGAGUCACGGUCGGGGCAUGCUAGGCUUGACGAGAGGCGAGUACUACUUGAUGAGUUGACGGCCGACGACGUCACUUGGACUCCAUAUGAGGCCCACAGGGAAUGGCGACAGCGGGAUGAGAGGGCUUUGUUCUCAGGCUACAUUCGGUGUCCCUAUCCCCCUGCUGUGCGACCUCAUCUUCCGGAGCGGGUCAUGCGACAGUUUGGGUAUAUACAGACGAUCCCGCGCCACCCUAGUGAGAUGGAUAGAUCUCCCGCAGCUGAGGCUGUUGAUGCGGCAUUCGCAGGUUAUGUGCAGUACUUGUUCCCUGAGGGCGACCCUGCUAUAGAGGAGGGACAGGCUGUGGGCGGUUACAUGGAUUGGUACGCUAGAGUGUCUCAUUGUUUCAUCAUACCGGAUGAGAGGAGGAUUGAUCUCAGUGCCGUGGUAAAUUUUAAAUUUUAUUUCUAUUUUCUUUAUGCACUUGUGGUUUUCUGUAUGUGAUUUACUAACAGCGUUUUUUUUAUUAUUUACUUUCAGGCUGCUUUGCGUAGGGCUUUAGAAGUCCUUGAGUUGUCACUUGAGGUGGAUGAUGCUUUGCUGCCAGGCACACAGGCCCGCGCUUUAACGGAGAGAGCACUUCGCAUCCUCCAGGACUUGGCUGGGACACAGGGCAUUGCUUACGCUGCUGGGAGAGGAGGUCUGGGAGCAGGUGGCCGAGUAGGUGGCCGAGCCGGCGGCCGAGCAGGUGGCCGAGCAGGUGGCCGGGAGGGCGGCAGGGCAGGAGCCAGGGGAGGUCGUAGGGGUAGGGGAGGUCGUCGGGGUAGGGGACAGUAGGGGACAUUAGUUGUAUGAGCAUUUUGUUGACAUUACUAUUAUGAUAUUAGGGGACUAUGUAUUUUGCACUACUAUUUCGGAUUAGUAUGAGUUUUAUCUUCACUUUAACGUAUAUUUUUUUUUUUAUUUUUCACUUUUACCCUAAACCCUAAUAAUUUGUGAGCUUUAUCUUCACUUUAACAUUUUUUUUUUCUUUUUCACUUUUAUAAUCAACCCUAGUAAUUUUAAAAAUCAAUAACUUUUAUAACCAACCCUAAUAAUCGACCCUUGUAAUGGAAACCAAAACCUGGCACUCAACAACACAAACCAUUGUAAUGAAGUUUAAUCUUCAAGAUAUAAUCCGAAACUUCAACCUUCGGAUCAGUAUGAAACUUCAACUUCCGGAUUAGUAUGAAACUUCAACUUCCGGACACCUCUGACAGAUUCUACCACCUUUUUCAGCACCAUUACUCCAUAGCUUCACCUACCUCACCACCAUUAUGGCCUGCAUAAACUCCUCAACCACCAAACCACCCCCCAUUACAUUUCACUUCUGAUCACCCUCACUCCCUCACUUCCUCUUUUCUUACUACCCCUCAACCCCCCACCACCAUCAUUGCACCACCAAUGCAAUACAAGCAUCGUUUGAGCGCAGUAUUAACAUUGUAGAGCACCGUUUCAAGUCUCCAAUGUAUAAGAAUAUGAGAGGAUUCGUUGCUAAACAUGCACUUCACCUAAUGUAUGAUGAACAAAACAGAUUUUGGGGUCAUGGUGAGAAAUGCGGUUGCGUGAUGAAAGUCACUCAUGGACUACCUUGCGCUUGUGCACUUCAGAGUAUUGCCUCAAUUCCGUAUGCAGCAGUUGAUCCAUUCUGGAAGAUACUUUCUUGGGAACAAGUGCCUGUUGUGGAGAGUCAAACCUCAAACAGUCGAUGCAUGCCGCUAGAGAUUGAGGCUUUGUGGGCUCAUUUCAAUACCUUGGAUGAUGCGGGCCAAAGUAUGCUGAGAAGGAAGCUUAAAGAGCUUUAUUGUCCUCAAAUCAGUUCAUUGUGUCCUCCUGAAGUGAAGAUAAAGCACAAUCAAUCGUCCAAGGAGAGGAAAACCAAACCUCCCAGAGGUCAAUCAAUAGGAUCCACCCAGCGUGACCUUUCACAUUGGGAACAUGUUGACAAUCAGACCAAAGAACAAGAAUCGAAAGCUAGCAAGAGGAAACCUAGGCUCACCAAAACUCCUAAAACAACUCCAACAUCGCAAGCUCCUAAGUCAAAGAACAAGAUGGCUAUGACGGCCACCGGCUCCAAAAUCUACUUACCGGAGUUGCCAUCUUUUUUAUGGCCAUAUAUACAUGAAGUGAUAGAUGUUGUCGGGGAUGGUAAUUGUGGAUACAGAGCCGUCGCUGCAUUGCUGGACCUUCAGAACGGUCAGGACGGUUGGCCUCGGGUUAGGGAAGAGCUGAUUGUAGAACUCACACUCUAUGAGAAACACUAUACACGCAUGUGGGGUUAUGAUGUGGUACAAGCCAUGCACAAUCGUCUCACUCUCCCUCCUGAUGGUAGAGCCACUAAAGCCAGAUGGAUGCAUCUACCGGAGAUGGGGUACCUUAUUGCUAACCGGUUUCGGGUGGUUUUCAUCUCCAUCUCGUUAAAAUCUAGUUACACUUACCUUCCGAUGAGAGGAGGCGCCCCACCGUUAGAACAUCCUGUCAUAGCUAUUGGUCAUGUGACCAAUCACUUUGUACAGGUAUAUCCUCAAUUAAAUACAUAUCUUCUUUUUUAUUAAUACACUCUCUUGUCACGUUAAACAAUUUAUAUUGAAAUAUAUCUAAUUUUACUACUAUACUCUUAAAUGUAGCUGAAGUUGGUGUCUGGACAUCCUAUGCCGCCAAUUGCUCCCCAAUGGGAAUACAACGUUGAAGAACCCGAGUCCGAAUGGUGUAAACCGUAUAAAGAGCGUUUGGAUAGAUUUAUGGCUGAACACACUGUUUGGAUUGGUCCUUGUGUUAUUACCAACUUUGAUUUAACAGACAUAACAGAAGAUUGAUAAUAUGAUUCAUGUUUGUAAUGUUGUAACCAUGUCUGUAACCAUAUUAUUAGCAAGAAUAUUUUCCUACAUAUAUUAAGACAAUGCUCCAGUAUUGUAACGAGGUCUGUUUGUCCCAUAUUAUUGUCACUGCAUUUUCACGUUUCUGUCUGUGACAGUAUCUGGUUUUAGAGGUACGAAUCUUGAAGUUUCAUAUUAAUCCGGGUUUUCAACUCUCGGACGUCUUAAAAAGGGGGGUGGUAAAUUUAAUUAUGAAUCAGUCCGGAACUUAUAGUCCUGGAUUGAUCCGAAACUUAAAGUCCUGGAGUGAUCCGAAACUUAUAGUCCUGGAUCACCCUUAUCAAGCAGCAGAAUGCCUACACAACCAACUCUGACCACCAUCAAUUACAAUCUCAACCACCAUCACUGCCUACACAACCAACUCUGACCACCAUUAAUCUUCACCACCAACCCCAUUACUCAUUCCUCCUACACCAUAAAUCCCUUUACUUCCUAUAUUAGUCCCCUAUGCACCAAAGGCAUCCUCCACCAUUACAUUACUUCCCUUCUUCCCUUGUUGCAGGAAAUAACCAGAAGAAAUGGAACAAGAUCCACCAUCAACCUUCAUCCGCCCUUGCAAACGCCAAGACAACCUUGCCUCCAGCUCUCGUCCUCUCAUUCCCGGCCCAGCUGGCGCCGUCCAGGCCGCCAUGAUUCACCGCAGAUCCACCGACGACAAACCAAACAUUUCAACCCAACAAUUCGUUAGGCAAGUCCUCCAAGACGGCCACGACACCGAUCCCGAUUUCCAAUCCAAUGCUUGGCUUUCAGCCCUGCAAUUAAACGGAUCUGCCACUCCUCUGGAUGCAAUCACUCACCAUCAUGAAAGAGUAGAUCACGUCAUCGGUGUUAUCAAAUCCUGCAAUCCCAAUGGGUUUGGAGAUGCAACAGUUACACUCAAGGUAUUUCCUUAUUCCUCCUUAUAUUUCAGUGAAAUGAUUCAUGUUUCUCUCAUGACAUCUGAGAUUGAGAUUCAGGACCCUACGGGCACUGUUGGCGCUAGUAUCCAUCACAAGGUCUUCACUGAAAGCGUAUUUGCGAAAGACAUAACUGUUGGAUCUGUUCUGCUUCUCCAAAAGGUUAAUCUAUAGGCAACUUUAACAUUUUAAGCUUCUUUGGACAACUUGGACAUCACAUCGUUUCUUCACUUUGCUUUCAGGUCGCUGUGUUCUCUCCUAGAAAGUCUAAUUGUUAUCUGAAUAUAACCUUGUCCAAUGUAGUCAAGGUAUGAUAAUCUUCUUCCACAUCUAAAAUAAAGCAUUUGAAUCUUUUCCACAUCUACAACAAAGCAUUUGAAUCUGUUUUCAUUAUACAGGUAUUUUCAAAGGACAGUGCACCUCCACCUGGAAGCUUCACAAACAUAACAGAAGAUUAAUAUUAGUUCUUUACUAAUCUAUAUUAAGGACUAUUUGUGUAACUUUUGAAAUGCUGAACUUAGAUUUCGUAUUGUUAUUUUGCUUUACUUUUCUAAUGCUUAACUUGGAUUAUUGUAUUGUAAUUUUGUUUAAAUUGGAUUAUGUAACUUUUCAAUUUUAAAGUCAUGUUAUAUUUGCUGCAAUUGGACUAAAGUCAUGUUAUUUUAACUGUAAUUAAAGAAUCCGAAGGUUUAACUCUCGGACUAGUCCAGAACAUCAACCUCUGGACUGGUACGGAGGUUUAAGUCCCGGAGGGUAUUCCCGGCAUUUUUUUAAAAAGACUAGGGUGGCAAUUCUAAACCCAGGGGUGGGAAAUCUAAUUCCCGAAUUCCUUUGCUCUUCCUCUUCAUGUUCUUCAUCAUCAUCUUCUUCUUAUUCUUCUUCCCAUAAAUUAAAAACAUUUAACCUAAAAUCACAAAAUCCAUUUUCCAGAAAGAAUCCUAAAACCAGGAAAAUUUCUCAAACCCACAAAAUAUCCUAAAACCAGAAUUAAAUCUCAAACUCACAACCGAACCAUUCGAUCUUCUAAUCGCACAACCAUCUUCAGCUUCAAGUGCUUACCCAUCAUACUCAAAAGCUCCACCUUGAAGAACACCCAAUUGCCCAGAACUGUUGCUACAUAUCAGGGACCAAUAAAUCCAGAUCCGGAUUCGGAAUUGAUCUGCUCAGUCCCUUUCCAUUUCCCUCGCUUGAGUUUGCAAAAACCCAGAUUGUGAAUGUUGCAGAUCUUGACCAAGAACUCAAGCUUGCACCGUGUCUCCCUAAAACUGGUCACAAAUUUGGUGUACCCUGCGAAAUUCGUCGGAACCCGCUGGCUUAUGAGCACGCGAUUGAGUAUGCGAGAAACCUUGGUGUGCGAUUUGCAACUGUUGAUACUGGUGUGAAGAGAAGGAAUGCUUGGUGGUUGUUUAAUCAGAGAUUUGGUGAAGGUGUGUUAGAAACCCGUGAAAGCCACUGGGAAAAAAAACAAGACCAGAAGCACAAAAGGAACCAAACUAAAAUUUUACAAUCAUAAUCCUUCAGAACAAAAAGAAUUCAUUGAAAAUCAGUCCCCAACCUUUUUUUAAAAUGAUUUAAUUAAAAUUAAGAUAAGUAAGUUAAGCUUUUUUUUUUAGAAUUUUAAUUUUUUUUUUAAAUUAAUUAGGUUUUUUUUAAUUUAAAUGAAAAAAUAAAUUCCACGUCAGCUCAUUAAUCUCACGUGGUCAUGCCACAUGGGCCACCGGAGCUCCGGCGUUGACUCAGAGCUCCGGAGGGAUGAAAACUAAACUUUUUGGCAAAGGUUAGGGACUAAAACCCACCUUUGCUCCGGCGAGGGACGAAAACCAAGCAUUUUGUAAAGGUUAGGGACCAAAAACUUAUUUAAGCCUAAAAAAAAUGUAUCAACGUAAAUCUUUCAUAAUGGUUUCAAAUAAAGGGAACAGACUUAAGGUAUGUUUCAAUUAAAGUUGGGUAGGAUGUGAAAGUAUUUUCAUCCCAUCCAACUCUUUUGUUCAUUUGAAAAAAAAUAGUGUUUUUUUACAUUGGAAUGUUUGUUAAUGUGGUUGGUACUGUAUCCAAACACACACUCAAUAUAAGACCCAGGAGUGACGACAUAUAAGCCUCUCUCCAAGCUACCCUUUCAAAUCAUCUUCAUUGUGCCCUUGUCCAGUGUAAUAAGUGAACAAUUAAUAAAGGUAAUAGACAAACUUGAAUUGUUUAACAAGGCGUUGACAGUUGACACAUACGAGAUAAUGUGAAGAAGAGGGCUAUAACGAACAGUAUCCAAAAUCAGAUUGUUAUGAAGGACAGUACAAACAUGAGUGACUCGAACCUUGCUAUUGUUUAAAGAACAUGUAAUGUGACAACCAGAAUCAAGUGCCCUCUCACAAGAAGAAUUAAACUAUAAUAGGUACUAAGUAAAAUAAGAAAGAAUAAAACUUUGAACAUCUUCAGAACAAGACUCAAUGGCAGGUCUUGAAGCCUAAUACAAUUAAGGGGAAGGCAGAGAAGUUAAUAGUUGACAAUGGUCAGUUGAGAGAAUAUGAGAGUUUUUCAGAGGAUCUUAGUUCUAAAACGGAGUCUUUUGUUAUUACAUCACAUUGGUGGAAGCUACGCUAUGAAGUACAUUUGUUUUCAAUUAAGAACAACUGAACAAGCAUUAAACAAAAUGUUACUUGAUUUGGUUGGUGUUAAUGCUAGGGACUUAGGGGUGUGCAAAUAAACUUGAUCUGACCGAAAUCGUUUCACCCAAUAGCAAACUUUGACCUUCAACUUUAGUUUCAAUUAUUUUGUAUAUUUAAAAAUAACGUAAGGCUUUGUUUAUGAACCGGUUGGCCAAUGUCUGAGGAAGAUACAUUUGGGGAGGUCUGUAGACACACUUCGCUUCAAUAAGGCUUGGUGUCUAGAGGGCUUUUGGAUCAGUAUAGGCGACCUAGAGCAUGAGUCUGACUUCUGAGUUCAAUGUAGAUCAACUCAGCCUAAACUCUCACCCUUAAGAAGCUUAUCAUUCACUAGUUUGAACUUUUAAGGAAUAUUUAAGUUAAAGAUAAUUAGGCAUAAUAUUUAAUCCUUGGCAUAUUCUGUAAUAUUUCUUAGAAUAUUCCUUAUCAUAUUCUGUAUUUUCUUGUUAUAAACAAUACAUUGUCUACCUCACACAAGUUCUGGUGAUAGUUAUCGCAUCUUACAUGGUAUCAAGUUACGGUUUCAAACACUAGCCCCCAAACCUUAUCUUGUCUUCUACAACGCUGUGCGCCGCCACCGUUCUGUCCUCCUCAGUUCGCAGUUCUCUCUCUCUCUCUCUCUCAUGGCUGACGAUGCUACUCCCCUAUCUCUGCCCUUUGCUUCCUUGGUCCACAUGAUCACGGUCCGGCUCAAUUCUGAAAAUUUCCUUCUCUGGCGUAAACAGGUUACAUCUCUUUUUCAAAAUCAGAACCUAUUUCACAUUGUUGAUGGUUCUAUUGAUCCGUCGCCGCAACUUGUGCAGCAAAAUUUUGCUACUGCUACCUCUCCAGGUUUACGUGAUGGUGUUUCGAUUCCGAAUCUUCGUUUUGCUCAAUGGCAGGUUCAAGAUCGGAACGUCCACAAUCUCCUUCUUUCCUCCUUAACUGAGGGGCCUUAUUUGAGACUCUCAAUGCCAACACUGACAUUCAAUCACAUCCUUCCAUUUCCUAUUUUAAAUAUCAUUGAAUUCAAAAUUAAUUAUAAGCUAGCAAAAUGGAGGGAUGUGAUUGCAUGAUUGUGUAAAACUUAUUUACACUGUCAGUGCAUAAAAAUUAAUCUCAUAAUAAAAAGCAUUUUAACAUAUUUUAAUAAUUCAUAAUCUUAUCAUUGUCAUAAAUAAAAUACUAGAGUACUAAAAUAAAGCUUUACAUCCCAAUGUACCUAAUGAAAGCUUUACAUCCUCAAUAUAUCAUAAGAGCAUGUUUAACUCCUCUAAGCGACAACUGCACUCUCAUGUUGGUCUGCAAACAAAAUAACCAAUACCAACUACCACACCAUCAAUACCCAUCUUCAACACGCCAAAAUCACCAGAUGUGUAAAAUGUGAAGAACUCAUUCCUUAGUGUAACAUUCAGUGCAACACCACUAUCAUUUAUCCACAUGCUCUCAUAUGAUACAAGAUUGUCUGACUCAUGGUCACGAGGAAUAAUAAGAUCAUCAAAAGUAGCAGUAGUAACACGGAAAUCAUCAUCAUGAUUCUUAUGUCUCUGCUUACUAUUAUUGUUUCUGCUAUCCCUUUUUCAUAUAAAAGAGUUCUUCUGUAUGUGCCCUUUUUUGUGACAAUAAUGACAAUCCACAUUCUUGUAUCUAGACUAGGACGGACUUCUACUCUUAUUUCUACCACCUUUUGGUACUUCAUCUUAUUCCUAAGUUAAUUUGUAUUUGUCUUCCUUCUCAUCUCCUCAUAGUACCAACACUUCAUCAAACUUGAUGCUCAUUCCAGACAAUUGAUCUCGAAACCCCUUAAAAUCAAGUGGUCUGAAAUAGAAGACUCAUCCUUAUACCUCAAAUUCAUCAAGGAAUUCAACAGAUCCAAUUUAUUAUUCCCUGAUUUAGAAGCAUACAAAGAUUCAAUCUUCGUUCAUAAGGAUUUUGCAUCUUCCUACUAGCCAUUUGAUUAUAAACAUUAUCUUCUACAUACUUUUGGAUGAAACCACAACCCUGCUAAUGUUCAAAACUUCAUUCCUCAUUAGACAUGUCUUCCAGCUUCUCAGUAGAAACCACAAGACGAUGCAACUUCUUCACAAAAAACAAAUCAUUCAUCUUUCCCUUUCACAAGUGAUAAUUAGUAUCAUUCAAACAAAUCAUAUUUGUAUUUGCUCCUAUCAUUCAAGCAAGUCAAAUAGCCCCUUAACCAAAGAGCUUUGAUAUCAUUCUAAUAGCAGAAAUAACCGAGUAAUAUGCAAUGAAUAAUAAAUUUUCCAACUUGAAUCUAUGAGGAGCAAUAACAAAUAAGCAUAAACAACAAAAAUAACAAAUAAAGAGAUGAUUUUAGGGUGAAAAACAUUCUCAAUAAUGUGAGAAGUAAAAACAACAUGCACAAAUCAGUAAUCAAGCUCCAAUGUAAUCAAAUAACAGUACAAAAGAGUAUUAAAGCGCAACACAAAUAUGUUGAACAAUUUGUCAAUCAAAUAAGCAAGAAACUCAAAAUAGAGAACUUACAGAUUAUGAAAAACCAAAAAAUUGUUAUUGUUGGCGCCCAAUUUAAACCACCUCAAACAGCUUCUUACCAAUCAACCGUCCAGAUUGAAAUACCAUGAGUCCCAAACCAACUGUCAAAAUUUCAACCUGAUCUGACAAUGAACAAAGGAGAAAUUUCUUAUCUGCUAUGAAUGCCAACCAAAUCUUUAUCUUUUCUCUUUUCUCACUCGCCUCCAUUUGUAUACCAAACUCUUACCCUUACCAUAAUUGACUCAUCUUUACCUGUUUAAGUGGAUAUUAUGCCCCUCUCCACAUAGUUGUGAGGGAGAGAUUUGUUGGAGUACUCCCUUCCUAUGUGGAGAAAUGCAAACGCUCACGGGCCUCACUUAAGCAAGUAGAGAUAGAGCAAUUAAGAUAAGAGAGGGGUCUGACCAAAGUGAUGCAAUGCAAGAGAAAAAUGAGAAAAGAAAACAGAAUCUAGUUCGCAAAAUCUCUUCUUUAUUUGAUCAGGCUAAAAUUUUGACAGUAGAUUCGUGAGUCAUAGUACUCGAAUCUAUACGAUUCAUAAAUGAGAAGUUUCUUGAGACUGGAGAAAAUAGACGCAGACAACUUGAGUAUUUUCUAGAAAUUAAUUGACAGCAAUACAGAAGUUUGACAAUUAAUAUUAAGGCUAUGUUUGACAUGUCAUUUCAGCUAGUUUGCUCUUUAAAAGUGUUUGGUAAAUGAGUUUAUUCCAGUAGCUUAAAGCUUUAAGCUAUUACCAAUUGUUCAACAUAUUUGUGUUGUGCUUUAAUACUCUCUUGUAUUGUUAUUUGAUUAGAGGGGAGCUUAAUUACUGAUUUGUGCCCAUUGUUUUAUUGCUCCUCAUAGAUUCAAGUUGGAAAAUUUAUUAUUCAUUGCAUAUUACUCGGUUAUUUGUGCUAUUAUAAUGAUAUCAAAGCUCUUUGGUUAAGGGGCUAUUUGACUUGCUUGGAUAAUAGAAGCAAAUACAAAUAGGAUUUGUUUGAAUGAUACUAAUUAUCACUUAUGGAAGAGAAAGAUGAAGGAUUUAACUGAAGUAACUUAUAACUUAAAGCUUCUUAUUGAAUUUAUUUUCUUUUUUAUCCUUAUUAUUUUAUUAAAAUUCCAACUUUGGCCUUAUAUAUAUUUUUUAUAUUUAAUUUAAUAAAUAUAUAGAAAAUUAAAUAAGUAAAUAUUAAUAUUAUAUUUUUAAGGUAAUAAAUAGCUUAAGUGAAAUUAAAAAUAUUUAAAAGUUAUAAUAAUUUUAAUAUUAAUAUUAUAUAAGUAAUAAUGUGAAAAUAAAAUAAUGGUAAAUAUAAAAAGAAGUAUACAAGUAUCUUCUUUUAUCAUUUUACAAUUUCAAUUUGUUUAACCUUCAGUUUUACCAAAAAAAAAUUAUUUCAAUCACGUAGCUUUUUAGUUUUCAGCUAGCUUAUCAGUUUAGACAUGCCAAAUAUAGCCUAAGCCGGACAAGGAACAGCUAAUUAAUUUAAAAAUUUAGAACAUAAAUCACAAACAUCUUCAAUGCUAAUUUUAAGAUGCAAACACCAAAAGACAAGGCACAGCAAGCAAAAUAUGAAUUCACCAUUCAAACACAAAUACUUGGAGAUGGGUCGAAUUAGCAAUAAAAUCAAAUCAGGGUUUCGUGUGAUGUUUGGGCCUUUGGGGAUUACGGGGUCAUUGCUCAUCUGCAUCAAAUUGUUGAAAUGGUACAGUUUUUUACUAAUAGUAAUACCAAAACAAAAUCAAUUCAGUUAGUAAAACGUGAAAGUGGUACAGUUCUAAAAUAGUGGCACAGACAGCAUCCAAUUCAGUGAAGGUAGGCUUUGAAUGAUCGACUGAGGUAUUACUUUGCCUAUUUUUCACUUCUAGGUCAAUUCAUAAAUCCUAAAAAUUGAGACAGAACAUACUUAAAAUGUUAACAAACUAUACGGAAAAAUGUGAACAACAAAUGUUCAUCAAAGACAUAUCUAUGGCCUCAAACACUGCAAUAGAAAAAUCCAGCAUCACACGUAAAUUUAUGACUUUUGAAGAUUGAAGCUGGAUUUCAUUUCAGACCAGAUCAAAACCGAAAAAAAAAAAAGAAAUAAAUCAAUCAAAACAACUUCAAUUCAGAAAAUACAGAGAUGAAAUUAAUAGCUACAAUGUAAUGGCGUUUGGAGGCGGAUUUGUGUAGAAAAAAACAAAUCCGUACUAUGAUGCCAUAGAUUUUAUGUGAAGGGCUUAAUAGUAGCAGGGCACCCCGUAGAAAACCUACAGAGAAUUCAGAGCCAUUGUUAAAAAACUACUCUCCCCUAUAUGCCUUAGCCCUCAAUAUUAUAAAGCAAACACACACAAGUAAAAUCAAAUUCUGAGCUCAAAAUUUUGAAAGGUAGAAGGAGAAAACAAUGGGAAGAAUGAAAGUUGAAACCCUAGUUUUGUGUAGCGGCUCUGUGAAGUUAUAUAGCACAUUACCCGGUUGGAAGAGAAGAAAGUUUGAUGAGCUUUGUGUUCUUGCUGGGCUUUAAAGUAAAGGCCCAUGUUUACAUCCACAAGCAUAUUUUUGCUUAUAAUUGCCACUUAUCUUAGCACGGCCCAGUGGCAUGUGCCUCUUUUAAAUCAAAAAAGAGGAAAUUGUUAGAUAACGUGUUAUAAAUAAGAUCUAAGCAAGUGAUGAAAGAUAGGAGAAGAGAGGAGUAAGAGUAGAGAGAAUCAAGAGUUUUAGAGAAUAGGUGGAAUGAGGGGUUGGAGAACAAUCGUGCUGAUAACGUGUUAGAAAUAAAGAGAUGAACUAAUAUAAGCAAAGAGAAGAAAAGCAAGUAAAGAGAGAAGAGAGCAAAAAAAGAGAGAAUAAUCAGAAUAGUGUGAAUGGGGAUAGGUUGUUUGAUGCAACCUCCUCUAUAUUUAUAGCUAUAAACAAUGGGUCAAGUAUAGAGUCCAUGGGCUUGGCCCAAUGGUCAUCCUAUUCAUAACAGAAAUCACAUUGAUAUUCCUCAAGUGAUAUAUAUUCAUAGUGUAAAUUUAGAAUUUAUUUACCAACAUAGGGGAGUCACCUAUUGACCAAAAGCUCUGCUAGGGUUAGAAAAAAAAGUGCAGCGCCGUUCUCCGCAUUGGGGGCUCCUCCUCCGCUAGGGAGGUUCUUCUCCUACUUAGUAGGUAGUUCUUUUCUCCCAUAAUAGGUGGGUUUCUUCCACAGUAGGUGGAUUUUCUACCCAAAUAAGUGGGUUUGUUCUUGCUUUCUAGUUUUCCUGUUUUGUCGGCCACCACUCAUCUGUUUAUGCCACCACUGCCUCCACCUUGGCCGUUUUCACUUCCUCCACUGCUCAUCGUGUGCGGAGACGCAGAUCGAGUUACAAGCGACGCGGGUCGCCUCCAUCGCAACCGCGAGUGCUCCUUCAACCUAGGUCUCAGGCCCCUUUUCCAAUCGUCUCUCUCUGGUUGUGCUUUGGGUUGAAAAGGGGUGGUUUGUAGUUGUUUCUGUUUUGUGGAAGCUUUGACGCGCCGUCGUGCCUUUGUCGUCACCGUACCGUAGCUGCGCCUUCUCUGCAUCAUUCGCAACCUUCCUCAUCCCUCUGUUCUGUCCGAUAGAUCUGUAGCCUCCCUAUUUUCCAUGGUCUAGUGUUGCUAACUUGACUCCUCUAGGUACCUCCGUUGAAGCUUUAUUUGCUUCUUUGAUAGCUUUUCAGUUUGUGAAAAUCCGGUAGAGUCUCGGUUGAUUGGCAGUGGAGCAGUUGCUUAAAUUUGUAUUUGUAAUCUUCUUACUGUUCGGAAAGUCAGGUUGCUAUGCUAGUGUUCUUAGGUUUUUAAGGUCUGUAUGAUGUUCUUAGUUUGUCUGGUUGCUUAGAUCUGCAUCAGUGAGCAUGCUUUAAGAUGUAAGUGUCGUUAGACAAUUUUUGAAUUUUAAUCUUUGCACUGUUGACAAAAAAAAAGUGAUAUAUAUUCACACCUCAUUUUUAUACACUUCAUUUCCACCUAUUUUUAUUUAAUCUUGUUUUUUCUUAUCAUAUAUGACUUCUUAUACUUUCUCUCUCUUACUUUUUCUUUUCUUCCUAUUUCUCUCAUCUUUCACCUCAUCUUUGAGGUGUGAACAAACAAUUAUUCUUAACAUUGUUGCCGUAUUUGACCAAAACAAAAAAAACAUUGUUGCACUAACUGUUUUUUUGGUUUGCAAAAUGUAUUAACUUCCCUCUUUCACAUAUCAGUUAGAAUAAUAUAGGUGUGCCGAGUGUAAUAAUUAUAAAUCUUAGAAAAGGUCGGGUCCACAAUGAUAAACAUUAGAGGAGGUUAGUGAAAUGCUCUCAAUAGAGUAUGGUGGUUAAUAUUUUGUUAAAUAAUAGAUGAGAGGUAAAUGCAACAAUGAUGAACUUCAAGGAAUGCGGGUGGAGUUUCUCUAAAAUAAAAAAAUGGUUAAAUGUGUUUAUACUAUAUAAUCCUUGUAAAAUAUUGGUGAAUUGGAUAUGAUUACUUAAAAAAAUCAUAGUUUUUGACUCAACAUUAUUGAAAUAAGUGAAAUUAGUUCAUAUCAUACUUUUUGAGACAUUAUUUUGUGUGUUAAAGACAAUUUUUCACAGCCACAUAUAUUUAUUUUUUGUUUCAGUGAUGAUUUGGACCGCCAUAAAAUAAAAUGAGAGACUAAUUUCACUCAUUUUAUUAAUAUCUAUAUAAUAUACUAAAGGAAAGUUUUUUUUCUAGAAGGUUUUGUCACGUGUCACCCCCAUAUCAUCCCAAUAAAAAAUAUACAAAUUUUUUUUUUCAAUAUUAAAUCUGCAUGUUUUUCAAUAUUAAAUCUGUAUUAAAAAAAACAAAUAUUUUUUCUUACCUUUGAAUACAUAACAAAUAUUAAAUCUGAACAUAAAUUUUGUUUUCCAAUAUUAAAUCUGCAUGUUUGAAAUAAGUUUGAAAUACAUAUUUUUAAUACAUAUUUAAAAAAAACAAUUCCGAUAUACUAAAGGAAUGUUUUUUUCUAGAAGGUUUUGCCACGUGUCACCCCCAUAUCAUCCCAAUAAAAAAUAUACAGUUUUUUUUUUCAAUAUUAAAUCUGCAAUGUUUUCAAUAUUAAUCUGCAUGUUUUUCAAUAUUAAAUAUGCAUUAAAAAACAAAUAUGUUUUCUUAUCUUUGAAUACAUAACAAAUAUUAAAUAUGAACAUAAAGGUAGCAACUAUUUUAUUGCUUUCAUUCACAUUUUUACCUCAUACGCUUGCUUCCCCUGUUUCGUUUACUUUUUUCUCCCGUUGUAAUUUAGAAGCUCCUUGACAACCUGUUCUUCCUUUUGAAAUCAUGCUUAAUUUCUUCCAGGUAACUAUCCUUUGCAUCUAUUUUUUCUCCUAAGGGAAUUUGCAUCUUUAAUUUGGUUUUGUUUAUAUGGAACAACUGUUCACGUGUGGGUUCCUUUGUGAGAAGUUGUUGUGUGGUGUGGUGGAUCUACAUGGAGAAAGACCUUACAUUCGGUAUAGAAUCGUGAGUGCUGGUUCUAUUUUGAUUUCAUCUCUCUUUUUUAUUUUUACGUUUUCAUUUGUAUAUAAUAAUGCAAAGGAUUUAUGCAGGUCUAAAGGAAGAAGAAAAAAUUUCAAAAAUAAAAAUUACCCCAAGUAUCCGUGCAAUUGCUUCCAUAUGUCAUCAUUGUUGUUUGUGUUGAGUUAUUGGAGGUAAAUGUCUUCCCUUCUUUCCUUUUUGUUCUAUUAUGCAUGCAAAUAGAGUUGAUGAUGAAAGAUACUUUACUUUCCAAGCCUAUUGCUAUUUUGUGAUGCCCCACACAAGAGCUUAAUCAAAAAAUUCUUUCAGGUUAUUGUCGUGUAAAAAUAUCCUUCGAGAGUGGAUUGAUAAUAAUAUUUUCCUUUUUUCUUCACCUUUAAAGGUUUGAAAAAUUUCGUGUGCUAGCACCAAUAAGUGCAGAUUUCAAGAACCAAGAAGACGGAAUCAGUAAUGAUAUGGAAGACUCAUGGAAUUUGUGCAAUAAUAUUUUCUUAUUAAUCAAAUAAUAAUAUAUUUAUUAUGAAAUAAUGCACAUAUUUUAUGUCAUUUUUACUCUAACUGUUUUGUAAUUUAUCAGCAAAUUAAUAUUUUUAACCACUCUGUACGUAGUUUUUGUAAAAUUGUAAACUAAUAUUAACCUAAUAAUUUUUUUAAUGAAAUCAUGAAUAUCUUUUAAAAAACAUUCACUUAUUCCAUUAACUUUUUUAACAUAUUUCGUGAAUAAAAAAUAUAUUUAGUUCAUACUUCUCUAUCAAAAAAUUGAAUUUUAAAUUCAAAUUCGUUGUUAAUUAAAGAUUGGUACUUUUUUUUCAAUUUUGAAUCUUAAUUUUACUUUGUAAUCUUUUUCUUAUAUAUUAAAUAGUUAAAAAAAUCAAAUUCGAAAAUAUUUUAAAAUAGAAAACUUUAACGAUUUUAUUUUAUAAAAUUAAAUUCUUUUUUAUUAAUGUUUUAGUAAAUGAUAUAGUUAUUUUUUUUUCAAAUUUCUUCUUUUCCAAUUUGAUUAUUAAUUUUACUUUGAUCCCUUUACUUAAUAAUUAAAUUUUUAGAAAAUAUAUAUAUAUCAAAUGAAAUUCCUAAUUGUAAAACAUAAUUUAACUGAUUCUAAAUUUUGAGUUAAUGCUUUGCCAAAAUAUAGGGGAAAUGAAACUGAUACAAGUUGCAUUAGAAUUGAGAAAUCAUACUUUGACUAGAAAUUAAACCCGUGCGUUGCACGGGUUUGUUAUUAAGUUAUGUGUCUAUUAUUUGUAAAAAUAAUUUAUGUAAUAUGAAAAAUUGUUGAAUUGUAGAUAUUUAAGAAUAUGAUAAACAUAUGUAAUGUAAUUAUAUUAAUGAAGCUCAGUAAAAAAAUUAUUGUACACUAAUUUUUUAGUGUUUUUUUUUGUAUAAACAUUUGGUACCGGUAAUCCUUUGGAUAUACAGACAAAUUCAAGAUUUAGUCACAAUUAAAACUCAUGAUCCCUCUCCCAUAGUGUAUUGUGUGGGGAUCGAAACCGAGAGCUCUUCACACACGCUCAGUCUGCGUUGCCAACUGAGCUACCCAUCUUGAGUUAAUUUUUUAGUAUAUUAAAGCACAUAUUUUAUAUUUUAUGUUUCUUUAAUAAAAAUUAUUUUCAAUUUAUUUGGUGAUUAUAUGUUUAAAUAGUAAUGCACUCUCAAUAUUAAGUAAAUUGAUGAAAAUAUAUAAUUAGAGCUGAAGAAUACAGUGUUUGUGUCAAAAAACUUUUAUAAAGUGAUUUUUACCUCUUGCUUUCAUGUUUUGGCCAUGAAAUUAGUGUUUUCAGUUGAAACUUUAUGGAAAGUGUGCUAAUGAAAGUUUAAUGUCGAAACAUAUUCUUAGUGACACAUAUAAAAUUUAUACUAUUUAUUGCAUAAUGAGUAUUUAAUUAGUUAAUAUGCAGUUUGUAAGAACAUAUAUUUUUUUAACUUAAUUAUGAAUUAAGAUAAUAAUUUAUCUUAUUCGAUAAAUUUUUAUAGUUUUAUAGAAAGUCAAAAAUUAUAAAACCUCAUAAUACAAUUUGAAAACACAAAUCGUUCAACCUAAUGAAUGUCUAUUACAAUGGUUAAAAUUAACUUUUUGGAUCCCUAAGAUUCCGUCCUUAAGUAAUGCACUUUAUGAUAGACCUUUAACUUUCACUACACUUGAGUUGAACAUGAUUCUCUCAGUAGAUGAUACAUGUGAUUAACACAAAUAAAUUAUAAGGACUUAGUUAAAAAAGAUUCUUAAACUCGUGUAGCAUAAUAAUCUGCAAAAGUGAAAGUUGGUUAAGAAUGAUUGUUAUUUUUUAUCAAUAUAGAAAUAUUGUAGAUAUAUCAAAUAUGAUUUCAUUUAGGAACUUUAUUAAAUACUUCAUUGCAUACUACUUUUUGCCUAUUGUAUAUGAGUGCAACAAUGAUAAACCUCAUAGGAGGUUAUAAAUUCAUAUUAAAUAUUAUUAGAAAACAUAUUUUAAAUCAAAAUUAUAACUACUAUCGACCAAAAAUUUUAAAAUUAAACAAUUUUGACAAAUAAAUUCAAUUAAAUUAUUCUAUUAUUUUUUAUAACUAACAUGAUAUGCAUAGCAUAUUUAAUAUAUAUCUCAUAAUUUAAUUAACUUAGUUUUCAUUAUAUUUAAUUUAUUUAUCAUCAUAUAUGUAGUUAAAUAGAAAAAUUACUCUAUGAUAAUUUUAACUAUCAAUAAUUAUUUAAUAACAAAUAUUUCUUAAUUUUAAAUAUAUUUUAUCUAAAUUAAUUAUAUAUAAUUAAUUAAUUUUAAUUCUUAAUAUUUUUCAACUCAAGUUAUUUUUUAAAAUUAUAACUAUUAUUAUUUAAUAUAGAUAUUUUUGUGAAUAUUUAAUGUAGGUAGUUGAUUAGCUUUUGACAAGAUAAUUAUUUUUUCAGUUUUUAAUCUUAUUAUUUAAUAUAUUUAUUACAAAGAUAAUUUGUUAUUACUCAAUGCAUUAUAAUACAUGCAAUCUUUACUAAUGUAUUUAAUGUAAUGGUUCAAGUGUGUUUUACUUAUAUCAUACUUUGAUUUCAAAUGAAUUUAAUUCAAUUUAAGGUCAUUUAAUGUACAAAGAAAGGAAAACCCAAAAAGCCACACAAAUAACAAAAUAUUAUUGAAAAAUAAUAUUUGUGUAAAAUAAAAUGAAUUAUUUUUGAAAAAAAUUAUUAUUUUUUACCAAUACAUAUUUUUGAGAUUACUUAAUUCAGUUCUACAACUAAUAUAAAAAUUUAGAUUCAAGUGUUAAUAUUGAACAAAAUCUAUCAUGAAUUUUGUUGGUUUAAGCCUAAUUGUAAGGGAUGAUUAAAGUCAGAUCAUGUCUUCAACAUGCUCCCCAUUUGGCCUUACGCUGGAUUCUAUGCUACCCGAGAGCCUAUUCUUGAGAUGGGAUAUCCAUAUUUGUCAUCCAAUUGGGUUUACAUCUCUAGUUUAUGAAAUACAUAUUCUUUUGUUACAUGGCGGGUGGAAAUCGCGAGGGGCAUCACGCUCCCACUGUUAGUAAUUGUGAAGGAUUAUAGGACCUUAGUCAAGUUUUUGCCUGCCUGCAGUUUGAUUCAUGUGAAGUUGUUCGCUAAUGUUGUGAAAAACUAUAUAACAAAGUUAGUUUUGUAUAACUAUGUCCAUACAUGAGUUAAAGAGGGUCUCCUGGUUAAUUUCCUAAUGUCACAAACAAUCUAAUAUCACUUUAUGAUUAAGAAAGUUUUACUUUACCCUAAAAAAAUAGUUUUAAAAUCCAGUAAAAAGUAAAACCAACCCCGAAAAAUAUCAGCCAAACUUCAACAAGGACAAGAAAAAACAAAGACCAAAAAACAUACAAAACAAACCAAACCAGCUACAUCUUAUGGAGCAACUCCCAAAAAGAGCUAUAAAUAUACAUAGCAAAAACCAGCAAGCAAAUCAAACCCCUGCUCGACGUCUACGAAAUUUAACGUGGUCAGCAAGCGAUAAAACAUGAUUCUCUUCUGAAUCCAAAAGUUUUUUCUCAAUUAACAUUAACAUCUCUUUUUUUUUAGAAAAUAAUAAUAUAUGAAAUCCAUAAACAAAGUAUUAAGAAUCCAUUAAAAAUAUUUUUUCAUUGUAUAAAAAAUACUUUAAAUAUAUAUAUAUAUAUUUCUAUAUUUGUGCAAUUACAAAGUUCUUAAAAAAAUAUUUGGGCAAUUAUAAUUAUUUUUUAGAAAAUUCAGAAAAAAUUCAUAUACGAUAGUAAUGGCAAGAAGAUCAAAAAAAUGACAACACAGAAUUAUAUGACACUGUCAAUUUGUCUAAAGAAUCUCGAAUUAUUUAAAAAUUAAUAUCAAAGCCAUAUUUCAUAUAAUAGUAAUGGCAAGAAGAUCAAGGAAAUGACAACAUAACACAUAACUUUCACAAAUCACUCACAAAUCACUCAUCAAUCACUGCAAUAACAACAUGUUCCGGAUUUGACCAUCGAAUUAAGCAAUUACAAUAAUCACACACCUGCCCCGGCGUGACUGACCCCAAGAAACCAUGUCCUAUGAAACCGCUUGAAUCACAGGAGUUUUGACGAAAAUAACUGGGGGCUACCAUAAGAGGUCUUUUGUGUGUAAAUUUUAUCCAGGAAUUAAAAUUACAAAAAAUAAUAAUAAUAAUAAUAAUAAUAAUAAUGAUAAUAAUAAUAAUGAUACACAAAUUUAAUAAUAAAGUCACCCGUGCAAUGCACGAUGCACGGGUAUCAAUCAAUCAAUAUAUAUUAGAAAAGAACAAGUUCUAGCAUGACGUGUCGCUCCCAGAUUAAUUCUUACCUAAUAUUUUACAUGUAAGCUCUUUCUCCUUGACCCCACUUGCCACAUGUGCCCUGAUUUUUCCUUACCUUAUUUCUCCUUAAUAAAAAAAAAUACAUUUUAAAUUUUAGAUUUGAUUAGGAUUUAGGCUUUUUAUUUCUUGAUUUUAUCUUAAUUUAUUUUUGAUUUAUUUUUAGAGUAUUAAUUAAUUUUUAUGGUAUUUUUAUUGAAUUUUCAGAUUUUUAAUUAAUUCCGGAUUUUAUGAGUUUUUAUUGUGAUUUGCUAGAUUUUGAUAGUUUUUAUCUAUAUUUAUUUAGUACAUUUUUAAAUUUUAGAUUUGAUUAGGAUUUAUGUUGUUUAUUUCUGGAUUUUAUCUUAAUUUAUAUUAUUAUUUAUUUUUAGAGUAUUAAUUAAUUUUUAUGGUUUUUUUUUGAAUUUUUAAUUAAUUCCGGAUUUUAUGAGUUUUUAUUUUGAUUUGCUAGAUUUUGAUAGUUUUUAUCUAUAUUUAUUUAGUACAUUUUUAAAUUUUAGAUUUGAUUAGGAUUUAUGUUGUUUAUUUCAUGGUUUUAUCUUAAUUUAAAAUCUGUGAUAUAAAUCAAUAAUACAUCCCAUCAGCAAAAACCCUCUUAAAACUCUGCCUACCUCCACCAUCUCCUCCAUGCAAUUCUCAUCCCAUCUCUCCACUGAACGGAAACACCCCCACAAAAUCGUCUCAUCUCUCCACAGAACCACUUUGCCAUCUACUUGCAAUCGCAUCCCUCCGAUUUGCUGCCUUGGACUGAUUGGGAAGGUUGCAGAUGAAGGUUUCAAAUUAUUUUCUUCCUUUGCUUGCAUAAUAUGUUAUGGUUUUUUUCAAUUUUAUUUUACUUUACCUUUAACUUUCAUUCACUCAUGUUUGACUUCAAGGUCAAUUUCGUUCAUCACUUGCCAUGCUAAUUUCAAAUUCUUUUCUUCAGGUUUUUUUUUAUAGAUAUUCCACCAAAAGAGAUUAUUUGGAAGCCAUGGAUGGUGAGUCCAUUUUAUAUUCUAUAUGGAAUUUUGCAAUAUUUUGAUUUGUUUUUUAUGUUUUCUGAUUCUCCUUUGUAUGUGAUUCUAUUUUAUUCGUUUUUCUUAUUUUGCAUUUAAAAUUUGUGUCCUGUGUUAUAGGAGGUGAAACAUUGAUCUGUGUAUGUUUUGAUUAACCUAAUCAUUGUCAGUGAAGUGGAUUGAGGGAGUGAAAGAAUUGAGGGGAGAGAAAGAAGAAGUUGUAGAUUUUUUUCCUUGCAACUUUUUUAUUUGAUAAUUUUUUCUUUUUGCCUGCUUCUUGCACCGAGGAAAUUAAUUAUUAUUGUUGGUGCUUGUCGUUACAACUUCAGAACUACAUAUCAUGGAUGAGAUUUUACUGCUUAUCUUUGUUCGCUCAAGCUAUACUAUUGAGGUUAGACUUUUAAAACUGGUGCUAUCCUUUCUAAUAUGCUAAACGCCUAAACCAAUGUUCUAACAAUAAAUUGAUUUCCUUGGCUUCCCUGGAAACAUUUGACAUGAAUUUAUCCGUAGGUACAAAACGACAAUGAGGUGCAUACCUCUUUCUGACUACACUCUCUGAUUCUCAGCUAGUUGACAAUGAAACAUGAUUGAUGACUCAAGAUCUUAUCUUGCUCUCAUUUCAAGUAAGCCACGAAACAUGUGAGACCAGUACUCAUGGAGGUUUUUCUCAGUCCAUUAUAUGUAUAUAUUCACCAGAUAAGAGAUAGAGAUGUGUGUUUGGUGUUGCACUACUGUGAUGGAUAUGUAUAUAUUCACCAUAUAAGAGAUAGAGAUGUGUGUUUGGUGUUGCACUACUGUGAUGCAUAUAUAAUUUUACUGACUUAGUUCAUCAAUUCUACAUCUAUCUAUCAUCAUUACAUAUAUUAAAAGUCACUUUUCGAAGGCAAUAUUAGAUUUUAUAAUUAAUCAUUGUUCUUCUAUGGUUCAAUUAAUCAAACUUUAGUGUGAUUGGAAGCCUUGCUUGCAUGAGUGUGUAAUUAUCACAUUACGAUUUAGUAUCAUCAUAUGUUUUUGAUUUGGUUAUUGUACUUUCAACAACAGUGCUACAUAAAGCAAAGAGUUGUUUUAGUCGUUCAACAAAUAUUAUGGGUCUAAAAUUUCUAGAGGGGUUUUCUUCCAUUCAUCUUCUUUAGUAGCAUGUGAUUAGUUUCCCCUUACAAAUAGAUCUGAUUGGUUAUGGAAACCAUUGGAAGGCCAUAGCCAAAAAGUGGCUUCAAUUCAUUCUUUGGCUUUCAUAUCUGUCUGCAAAUUUGAUUGCUAUCUUUGCACUAUCAUAGCUAGAUUGAUGUUGCACAUAUUGUUAUUAUGUUUGGUGUUCUUUAGUCUAUCCUACUCUAACAUGUCUAUCAAUCUCACUUCAUGAGUUCUUGAUUUUCUGUUACUUAGAAUGCAGAUACGGCUGGAAGCUGCUGAUUUGGAAGCAAGUUUCAUUUGAAUUAGCAUGAGUUCAUAUUAAUUCAUGUUAAAGUUGGACAACAAUCAGGAAUAGCACCUAGGAUUGCUGCUGAUUUGGAAGCAAGUUUCAUUUGAUUUUUUAAUUAGAAAUAAAUAUUUUAAUGAUUUAAAUUCCAAAUGUAAUACCUUCUUACUUUAUGAAGUGCUUUUUUAUGCCAAAGAACAGACACUGGUUGCAGUGAAAACAAAAUUUGCAUAUGAUGUUAGGUACUGUGUGGAACUUGUGAGUGUGUUUGUGGACAAUUUAUAAGAAAAGCGGUGGUGAUAGUGAGGUAGAGAAAUUUGAGAGAGAUUUUGAUGUAAAUGGAGAUUUUUCUUUCUUAUGAGAUUGGACUUUUAAUCCUUAUCCACACCAUUUGAAAUUUUGAUUAUUAAUACUAUUAUUUUCGACACUUAUGUCACUGACAAAUAAUAAUUAGGUUCUGAUGUAAUGUAUAUUCUUUGUAAUGGAGAAUUAAGUAGUUGUUUUUAAGAGUCUUUUAUAUAUAAUUCAGAUGCAAACAGUAUGCACUCAGCUAUCACUUGAGCACUAGAGCAAGUAAAGGGAGCAUACUACGACUGCUUUACUAUUCUGAAUUUUUUUAUCGCAGAAAUGCUCCGGUAAGUACAACAAGCUCAAAAGCAGAAUAGCAUGAUGAAACUACUAGAUAUUAUUAAUGAACCAAACCUUUCAGUUCCAAACUGUCAAGACCUUCGCUAGAAAUUUGUUCUAAAGUACGCCCAUUAGAACUACUAUAAGAGCAAAGCAACAUGCUUCUUAUAUUGGGAUAUAGACAAAAGCAGAGGUUGCCUUAGUGAGCUUUCUCACCUGGAUCAACAAAAAAACCACUGAAACUCGAUCGAUGAAAGUUGGAAUGGCAAGGUUUACUCUUAAAGUCUUCGGCAGGAGGAGGAUACAAGAGAUCGACCUUGAAGCAAGUAAGGUAUGGUGGGUGUCAUCAUCUUCAUCGAUAUUACCCACCAGAUAGACUUGAGAAAAGACUUUCAGGCAUCCUGAGAGUAAGGAGAAGCUGGAUCUAAAUGUAUUAGAAAGAGCCUAAAAGCUUUUAUAUAUAGGAAGAAUAUUUUACAUGAAAAUACUUCUACAUAAAAAUAAAUGUUAAUAAGAUUUCAUCGGAAUUUUUUUUUGUUACAAGAAAAACAUAAUAUAAUAUAGUUUGAUGUUAAUUUUUUACUACAUAAUAAUAUAGUCCACUUUAAUUUUUUUGUACAAAUUAUUAUAAGAGUUAAAUUCUCCUACGGGAAGAAAUAUAUUUUAACAAGAAAGUACCUUCAUUAAGUAUUAAUUAAUGUAUCAAAUACAAUAACAAAUUUCGCGGUACAUUCUUUUUUUUCUAAGAUUAAAAUGUGUUCUGAAUGCUUUAUUGGUGAUUCUUCAUAUCUAUAAUUUGUGUUAUUGUCUUUAGGCUCAUGAAGAAUGUGAAACGACUUCAUGUUGAUAUGGGUCAAACUUAGUUUAUUUUAUUGUGUAAAAAAUGAACUUGCAUAAUCACGUACAUAAAGAAUCUUUUUUCUUUUUUUCAUUGUAGAUUAAAUCAGCUAUUGUUUAUUAGCCAUCAUUAAACCACAUCCCCUAAUAUGUUUUGCAUAAUUUGAGAUUUGGUUAACCAAUUUUUUUAUUAGUUAUUCAAUUGUACGAAGUUCAUUCUAUGCAACAAGGGUUUUAAUUUACUUUUUGUCCACUUUGCUCAUCAUUUCAUACUCUUCUAUUUCAUCUGUUGUUUAUUAUAUUUUUAAUGAUCAAGGUAUUAAUUGACCUAUCAAACAUAAUAGAUGUAUUCCCCGUGCAACGCGCGGGUAAAAAACACUAGUUCAACUAGUUUGAACUAAAAGCUAGAACGAAAUUUCUUUAUAGCGAUAAAAUUCAAUUCCCUCAUAAUUUAUAAUUUCCCUCAUAAUUUAUAAAAUUAUAUUUAAUGCAAUAAAAGGAAAUAAGUAAUUGCACCUCGAAAAGAAAGGCGUAGCACGUGCAUAACCCAAAACACUGAUUUUUUCUUGGAUGUAUUGGAACACUAAUUUGUUCAUUAUAUAUGGUCAUGCUGAAUUGAGAUUGUUGCUAACUGUAUUUUGUUUUUUCAUCGUGUUCAUGGUGGACAGAAAGAACCUAUUUUCCCACUUUUAUUUUUCAUUUGUGUGGAAAAUUAGAAAGGUGAUAUAAAGGCCCACAUGUUGUCCAAUAGGAUUACAAGACAUGAGGCAUUUCAUAAGUAAACAAUGAAUAGCAUUGACAACCAGGCAAGUAGUUUAUCUCAUUGCUCCCCACCAAAUCCCCAAAGGGGCUGCCAUGUUGUAUCUUGUAUGUAUUGAUCUUGAGCCUCAAUCAUGAGUAGGGGCCAUAGUCGCCUGAAGCCAUAAAUUUCCCCCAAAAAAACCUCCAUAAUUUCCCCAACCUCUGUCGGUGUUCCUGCGGGUAAACUUUUGGUAAAUGUUAAUGUUAAUUGUUAGUAAUGUUAGUAAAUUAACCUCUUCUCAGGGUUCGAAUUUUGGACCAUUCGCCUUUCAUCUCACUCAACCCUUAUGUUAGCAAACUUUUCUCUCUGCAUUACUAGUAUAUUUGUCGGCUUCUCGGAGUGAAUCUCCAUGUUCACUCGAGCUGCCUCAUCCUAACUUGGAAGAAAAUUGCACUAAGCUGAAUUGAGCUAACUCACAGACGAACCUUUAAAAUGAUCAUCUCGUUCAACUCACCAGAAGUUAGAAAGUUAGUGAUAUGAGUCACAUUCAUUUUGAAAAAUAAAAAUUAAAAAAUGUAAUAACUAUUAGAAUAUUUUUUUCGGUUACACCGGAAAAUAUAAUAACUAUUAGAAAUUGGAAAAAUGUGAGAGAAAAAAGAUUAAAUUUUCAAUGUAUAUUAGAACCAAAUAUGUAAAAAAAAUGGUGGCUUUAAGGUGAAAAUCCUGAUGGGUCUUUCAUCGUUGAAUGAUCAAAAUGACCUAAUAUAAAAGUCAUAGAAAAAAAAAAACACCAAAAAUCUCAAUUACCAUAAAUACCUCCACUCCCCUAACCUGAUUCUUAAGAUGAUUAUAGUAAUUCUUCACAUAAAUAAUUGAUUCUUAAGAUAAUUUAAAUAAUCCUUAAGGUGAAUAAUUAAUUUUUAAGAUGAUUAAAGUGAUCUCUAACGAUAUUGAUUCUUAACAUGAUUAAAGAGACAUUUAAUGUCACCAAUUGAUUCAUAAGAUGAUUAAAGUGAUCUUUCUAACGUAAAUAAUUGAUCAUUAAGAUGAUAUAAGUUAUCUCUAAUAUAAAUAAUUGAUUUUUAAGACGAUUUAAGUGAUCCUCAGGAUAAUAAUUGAUUCUUAAGAUAUUAAAGUAUUUCUUAAGGUGACUAAUUGAUUCUUAAAAUGACUAAAGUGAUCCUUAAUAUAAAUAAUAAAUUCUUAAGAUGAAUCCUUAAUAUUUCCCUAAAAAAAAGUGAUCCUUAAUAUAAACAAGGCUUAAUUGCAACUUUGGUCCCCGACGUUUACCAAUGCCACGAUUUUGGUCCCCCACCUAAUUUAAUUACAUGGAUGGUCCCCGACGUUGCAGGCCGUGUGCAACGUUAGUCCUACCGUUUAUUUCUUAAUGGAGGAGGUUUACGUGGACGUCCAGUUAGAGAGAGAAAGGAGGUAUGAGGAGAGAGGGAAGCACGAGAGUAUCACGUGACCCUUAUCUGAACCCAUUGUACCCAAACCCCUGACCUCCCUAGAACGAAGAAGGUAACACGAUUUAGAUCCCUAGGGUUUCAGAUUUGGGUAUAAUGAGUUCAUAUAAGGUUCACGUGAGUUCACGUGAUACUCACGUGCUUCCCUCUCUCCUCAGAUCUCCUUUUUCUCUCCAACUAGACGUCCACGUAAGCCUCCUCCAUUAAGAAAUAAACGGUAGGACUAACGUUGUACACGACCUACAACGUCGGGGACCAUCCAUGUAUUUAAAUUAGGUGGGGGACCAAAAUCGUGACAUUGGUAAACGUCGGGGACCAAAGUUGUAAUUAAGCCUAUAAACAAUUGAUUUUGAAGAUGAUUUAAGUAUAUUUAAGGAGAUUAUAUUUCAGAGGGACCUGUUGUAUCCCGUUUCUGUAAGAUCAUGUUUUGAUCUAGUAGUACAACUCUAUGUUUUGAUGAUUACAAGUUAACUAUUAAGUAUGAACAAUUAUGGUACUCUAACGUUGUUUUCUGAGUGGUCAAAUGACAGGCCAAGACUCUGGACCUAUCCCACAUGAUUCAGAAGCACAAUGCUCAAAGAGUAACCUCUGCAACGCUUUCACACGUACUAUGUUCAUCUGAACAGUAGAUCAAGCUUCAGAAGAUCUGAAGAUCAUAAAGCUCUGAUAUGGAUUCAUCUCACUAGAAGCUAUGAAGGAUCAGAAGCUCUAAAGGAUCAGACGCUCUGAAGGAUCAGACGCUCUGAAGGAUCAGAUGCUCUGAAGGAUCAGACGCUCUGAAGGAUCAGAAGCUCUGAAACAUCAGAAGCUAAGUAGUGAAGACUCUGAAGUCCAAGAGUAAGCUGGCUCUGAAGACCAAGUACUUCUCCUCUGAGUCCAGAAGCAGAAGGUACAAAGGUCAGAGGAUCCAAGCUUCCCUCUGACUCUGAUCAUCAAGCUUCACAAGCUCCAAGAUGAAGCAUUACUCUGAUCAGAAGUCAACAAGGAUAAAGGUCAUGUCGCUAUCCAAAGUACAAAAGCAAUUGUACCAUUCCUGACGACCUUACCUAACUGAUUCAGCCACAGUAGAACCUGGAAAUUCUAGAUCUGCCCUCUAAUGGUAGCAUCUCCAUGCAACGUUCAAACCCUAAUCCUUGGAGUAUAUAAAGAGGCUGAAGAUUGAAAGAUGCCGCCUAAGAAACUUGUUCACGCGCAAGAAAUAUUUCAAAUCUUCUUAGCAAUCUUUCUUCAAAUAGAACUAAGUGUGUUUACUAUUAGCUUUCUAAGAAGCAUUUAUUUGUAAACCCAAAACCUUCAAACAGUUGUUUGUUUUACCUUUAGGAGAUCAAGGUUGAUCGGAUCCUAGAGAAGACUAAGAGAGUGAAUCUUAGUGAAAGCUAAGUCAGUGUAUUGUUAGUCACUUUGCAGGUAGCAAGUGCAGUUGUAACAAAACUCUUAUUAGUGGAUUGCCUUCAUUCUAAGAAGGAAGAAAUCACCUUAACGGGUGGACUGGAUUAGCUUGAGAGAUUUAUCAAGUGAACCAGGAUAAAAUCAUUUGUGUGCUUUCCUUAUCUCUUAUCUCUGCACUUUUAUCAUUGGUGUUUGAUGAGAUUUAUUUAAAUCUCAAGUGGGUUGAGUUUUUAGUUGUAAAACGCUAUUCAAACUCCCCUUUCUAUCGUUUUUCAUACCUUCAAUUGGUAUCAGAGCGCAAGUUUUGAUUACCACACCUAACAGUGUUCAGUGAUCCGGGCCGGUGUGAAAAACUAAAAUGGCUGCCACCAUUGAAACGCAAAAAGAUGUCUACAGUGCAAAGCCUCCUAUGUUUGAUGGGCAAAGAUUUGAAUACUGGAAAGACAGGAUUGAAAGCUUCUUUCUGGGUUUUGAUGCAGAUCUCUGGGAUAUUAUAGUGGAUGGCUACGAGCGUCCAGUUGAUGUUGAUGGCAAGAAGAUCUCAAGAUCAGAGAUGUCUGCAGAACAAAAGAAGCUUUACUCACUGCAUCAUAAAGCUAGAACUAUUCUUCUAAGUGCUAUUUCUUAUGAAGAAUAUCAAAAGAUCACAGAUCGUGAGUAUGCUAAGGGUAUCUUUGAUUCAUUGAAGAUGACCCAUGAAGGAAACAAGAAGGUGAAGGAGUCAAAGGCGUUGGCUUUGAUUAGAAAGUAUGAGUCCUUCCAGAUGAAAUCCAGUGAGUCCAUUAAGGACAUGUUCUCCAGAUUUCAGCUACUCAUUGCUGGAAUUAGUCCUCUCAACAAGAGCUACACAACUGCUGAUCAUGUCAUGAGAAUUCUGAGAGGCCUUCCUGAAAGCUGGAUGCCUCUGAUAACUUCCUUGGAGCUUACAAGAGAUGUUGAUCAGAUGAGUCUGGAAGAACUCAUAAGCAUACUGAAGUGUCAUGAACUGAAGCGUUCUGAACAUCAAGAUCAGAAGAAGAAGUCUAUAGCCUUGAAAUCCAAAUCUGAAAAGGCUAAAGCUCUCCAAGCAGAAGAAGAAGAAUCUGAAGAAGCAUCUGAAGAUUCUGAUGAGGAUGAGCUGACUCUGAUCUCCAGAAGGCUUAACCGCAUCUGGAAGCACAGGCAGAGCAAGUACAAAGGCUCUGGAAAGUAUAAAGGAAAGAAUGAAUCUUCUUCUGGUCAGAAGAAGUUUUCAUCAAAGGAAGUCACAUGCUUUGAAUGCAAAGAAUCAGGACACUACAAUAGUGAUUGUCCUAAGCUGAAAAAGGACAAGAAGCCAAAGAAGCAUUUCAAAACUAAGAAAGGCCUCAUGGUGACUUUUGAUGAAUCAGAGUCAGAGGAUGUUGACUCUGAUGGAGAAGUUGUUGAAGGACUCAUGGCUAUUGUCAAGAACAAAGAAGCAGAGUCAAAAGAAGCAACUAAUUCUGAAUCAGCAUCAGAGGAAGAACCAGACUCUGACGAUGAAAAUGAGGUAUUCGCUUCCUUCUCAACCUCUGAACUUAGAUGUGCUUUGUCUGAUAUCAUGGAUAAAUAUAACUCUCUCUUGACUAAGUGUAAGACCCAAGUUUUUAGCUUAUAAUAAAUUAGUGAAAUUUCUUAUUCACGAACAAUUCCGAUGUAACGUGAAGUAAGGAAACUGGAUAAACGUUUAUUAAAUGGAAUAAAUGUAUGGAGAGGAUAUUUCACGAGAAGGUUAAGGACAAGAUUCGAAUCGACGGAACUUAUGACGCAAGUAUUAUUCGGUUACGCCUAGGACAAAAACCUUAGGAAAAGAUUAAUUUAACCCUUGGAACACUAUAGGAAUAAAUUCCAAAAAUCUUCAAGAGGAAUAUAAGAAUUUCUCUUAUUCCUUUCCAUAACAAGUGUUUCGAUACGAAACCCUGGAAUGUACGAAGGUCAAAUUCCAAUACUCGGAAAGUUUGCCGAAACUAAAUCACUGAUAGUUCAAGAAACCUAAAAUCAAUGGACGAUGAAGAUUUUUUCUAUUCGGAGCUUCAAAUGAAGAUUCCACACGCGUGCACCUAUUUCUCUUGAUGUUUUUAAUCUUUCUUCAGAACGAAGUUUUCUCAUCCGACAUCAACUGCAAAAAGUAGUUUUCAGGUAAAAUCGAUUUACACCAACUUUGGAUCGUUUGAUUUAAUUCCAAGAAACCUCUUUUGAGUUUUGGAAUUCUGUCGCCAGAACCUAUCUUAGAAUUCACAGAGGAAUGCACAGGAAAAAUCGAAAUCACAAAAUUUUCAUUUUUUCGCAUUUUCCAAAACCUAUAAAUAGCUUGAAAAAUGAAAAAAAUAACAAAAAAUCACAAAACACACACACAAACCCGCGAGCAAGGAGGAGUAGAGGAGGAGAAGUGAUUUUCGCCUUUUCUUGCCUGAUCGUUCCACAGUUCGUUGCUACGCGUAGGCCUCGAGGUACUGAUGCUUUUCCUUACCUCUGAUCGUAAAUUCUGUCCCUUUUCUCUAUGUCUUUCUGUGCUCAAAGUUUUGAGCUUUUUGUAAAACUGUCCAAAUAACUUGAUUUUAGUGUCUAAACUUAUUCCCUGCGUGCCUCUGAGCAUGUUUAGCGGAUUACAUUUCGCCGAUUCUCGUUGAAUCGCCGCCGAACUUCUAUUCUGCUCAAAAUACCCAUUUCUGACAAAGGUUCCGCUUUUUGAAUCAAAAACUCCCGACUGAGCUUAGCGUUAGUAGGAUUAGUCGUCAUAAUCGUCGUUGGUGUCGACCCCAUCUAAUUUGUUUUUCGAAAUUCUGAUUUUGAGUUUCCGAGUUAAAAAUAUUGACCAAAAUACCCCUGCGACAGUUUUCGAUCCGAUAAUUUUUCUGAGAGUUUCCCUGGCCUAGAUAUCGCCUAAGAAUACCUAGGAAUUGAUUUAGAUCGAAGAAAAAGUUCGAAAACCCUAUUUUCCAUAGUGGCCGAAACCUAUUUGUUAGAGUACCGUGUCCAAAAAUAGUUUUUGAGUCUCUAUGACCUGAGUUAUAGCGUAGCUCUUUUAAUUGUCGAAAUUUUGGCUCCGGUUUCGUGUCAUUCCGAGUUCUGUAGCUCGAGUUAUGCUCGUUUUAGCGAACGAAGUCUCUGUUGUCAAUUCGUGCUUAAAUAGGAACUCUGAAGCUUUAAAAGCUUUCUUUCCGGUUUCGAUCAGUGUUAUUAGAUAGUGUUGUUCUAGUGAGGCUUGUGUUGAUGAUUGUGUUUCCUUGUUUUAGGUUCGCAACUUCCAUGCACAACUUCUACUCACGAAGGUAAGGGUAACUCAGUUUUAGUGUGUCUUUGAGUCUUGCCUGCUUUUAUCGCACUGCCUGCGUUUGAGAUGAAGAUGUUGAUAUUGAUUGGCAUUGGAUUAUGAGUAUUAUGCUUGCAAUGUUGUAUGCUUGCUUAUGUUGACUGUUUCUGGGGCUUGUGCCAAAUGUUUUUUUUGAAGGCUUCGGCCGAGUGAACUUAUUGAGACGUGUGUCUCCGUUUUCUGAGAGGCUUCGGCCGUUUACUGGUUUCUGUCAUUGAACUGAGUUGGUAUGCAAUUGAAUUGAGUUAUGUUCGUUGAUAAUAGGAAUAACAUGUGGUUACUCCGAAUAAAUCAUUGGUUUGGGCAUUGUUGUUGAUUGACUUGGCAUAUAGGGCUUGGUCUUUAAGUGGCGAUGAGGUGGGGUGUGGUCCCGCGUGAUUGUCCCGUCUUUCGAGAUGUUAUAAAGUGGCGAUGAGGUGGGGUAUGGUCCCGCGUGAUUGUCCCGUCUUUCGAGACGUUAUACAGAGGCGAUGAGGUGGGGUGUGGUCCCGCGUGAUUGUCCCAUCUUGCGAGAUGUUCUAAAGUGGCGAUGAGGUGGGGUGUGGUCCCGCGUGAUUGUCCCGUCUUGCGAGACGUUAUUGAUCGAUCCAUUUUGGUAGAAGCAUAUAGUUGCAUUAUAGGGAACUAACACCUGACCCUACGUUGUUGGAGUUUAGUUAUUGGUUUAUUGAUAUCUGAUUUGAUGCUAUAUUGUUGAGGUUAUUAUUAUCUGAGUUAACCUAUGUUAACAUGUUGAUUAUGAGUUGAGUUAUGUUGCUAGGUUAUUUACCAUGCUAGGUAAUUAAAUUCGAAUGACAUGAUUUUCUCUUUUAUACAUGGUAGUUACAUGGAGUUAACCCUUUCUAUUUGUUAUUUGUUGUUUGGGCGCUUAACGCUAUUAGGCGAUGGAGAGCCUUCCGCUGAAGCUUAGCUGUUCGAGUUAGAGAUCGUGACCGUGGGCGGUCGAGUAGAGGUAGAUGAAGUAGUUGCUUCUCCAUUUUUGGUGGACUAUGUUUGAGUUUCUUUCUCCAUAUGAAAACUCUGUUGUUUAAACCUUAUUUCGCAACUGUUUAAGUGUGCGUACUUAUUUUGGAAACUUGUUCAUGAUGAUGUAAGACAUUAUUAUUAUUAUGUCGGGAACGAGAUGUUUAAUUAAGAUUAUGAUAUGUAUAAACUGUGUUUAGUUGUUUUGAAAAGAAAAAAAAUAUCGAGUUUUCUUAGGAUUAUGAAAUAGUCCUUAGACUUUGUUAGGUUACUAAUGUGACCCCUCAGUUGAGAAACCGGGGUGUUACACUAAGCAUAAAAGGUUGAAAAAGGAACUUACUGCUGUUUCUAAAACUUCUACUGAACAUGAGAAAAUUAUUUCUGAAUUGAAAGAAAAUAAUCAUGCUUUAGUUAACUCUAACUCUAUGCUUAAAAACCAAAUUAUCAAGUUAGAAGAAGUUGUUGCAUGUGAUGCCUCUGAUAUAAAGAAUGAAUCUAAAUAUGAAAAAUCCUUUCAAAGAUUCCUAGCUAAAAGCGUAGAUACAAGCUUGAUGGCUUCAAUGAUCUAUGGCGUUACCAGAAAUGGGAUGAGUGACAUUGGCUAUUCUGGACCAAGUAGAAAUGAGCCUCCUAUGCCUAAGGCCAAACCUCUGCAUGAACAUUUUGUACCCUAUGGUACCAUUCUACCUGAAUCAUUGCCUGCUAAAAUUGCUAACCCUUCUCGUAAAAAGGGAACUCCUUCUGUGCUUAAAUAUCAUGCUCAAAUCCCUUUAAAUUAUCAUGUUGAGAAACCCAAGGCCAUCAGAACCUCUGGGUAACUAACAAGAAAGGACCCAGAAAAUGGGUACCUAAGGAUAAGAUUAUCUAUGUUGCAGAUAUCCUUGAUCGCUCCACUGAAACACCAAUCAUGGUAUCUGGACAGUGGAUGCUCGCGUCACAUGACGGGAGAAAGACGUAUGUUCCAAGAGCUAAAACUUAAGCCUGGAGGCGAAGUUGGCUUUGGAGGAAAUGAGAAGGGUAAAAUAGUUGGUUCUGGUACCAUUGGUGUAGAUAAUAGUCCAUGCAUUGAUAAUGUUCUGUUAGUAGAUGGAUUAAAUCAUAACUUAUUGUCUAUAAGUCAAUUAGCUGACAAGGGUUAUGAUAUUAUCUUCAAUCAAAAGUCUUGCAGGGCUGUAAGUCAGAUCGAUGACUCUGUUCUGUUUAACAGCAUGAGAAGGAACAACACUUAUAAGAUCAGAUUAUCUGAGUUGGAAACUCAGAAAGUAAAGUGCCUUCUUUCUGUUAAUGAGGAGCAAUGGGUAUGGCAUAGACGGUUAGGGCAUGCCAGUAUGAGAAAGAUUUCUCAGCUGAGUAAGCUUGACCUUGUCAGGGGCUUACCCACUCUGAAGUUCUCUUCAGAUGCUCUUUGUGAAGCAUGCCAGAAAGGCAAAUUUACAAAAGUCCCUUUCAAGGCAAAGAAUGUUGUUUCCACCUCAAGGCCGUUAGAACUUCUGCAUAUCGACCUUUUUGUACCAGUGAAAACUGAGUCUAUAGGUGGCAAGAGAUAUGGGAUGGUCAUUGUUGACGACUAUAGCAACUGGACAUGGGUAAAAUUUCUAUCCCUCAAGGAUGAGUCUCAUUCUGUGUUCUCUACCUUUAUUGCCUAAGUGCAAAACGAGAAGGCUUGCAAGAUUAUGCGUGUCAGAAGUGAUCAUGGUGGAGAGUUUGAGAAUGACAAGUUUGAGAGUCUGUUUGACUCCUAUGGAAUUGUACAUGAUUUCUCUUGUCCUAGAACUCCUCAACAGAAUGGUGUUGUUGAGAGGAAGAAUAGAACUCUUCAAGAGAUGGCUAGAACCAUGCUUCAAGAAACUGACAUGGCAAAGCACUUCUGGGCUGAGGCAGUAAACACAACAUGUUACAUUCAGAACAGGAUCUCUAUCAGACCAAUUCUGAAUAAGACUCCUUAUGAAUUGUGGAAGAAAGUAAAACCCAACAUUUCUUACUUUCAUCCUUUUGGUUGUGUUUGCUAUGCUCUGAAUACUAAGGAUAGAUUACAUAAGUUUGAUUACUUGGUUACUCUGAACGGUCUAAAGGUUUUAGAAUUUACAAUACUGAUGCUAAAACUAUUGAAGAAUUUAUUCAUGUUAGAUUUGAUGAUAAGCUUGACUCUGAUCAGUCAAAGCUAGUUGAAAAGUUUGCAGAUAUGAGUAUUAAUGUUUCUGACAAAGGAAAAGCUCCAGAGGAAGCUGAACCAGAGGAUGACUCUCUAGAGGAAGUUGGUCCCUCUGAUUCACAGCCUCAAAAGAAGAGCAGAAUUGUUGCCUCUCACCAUAAGAAGUUGAUUCUGGGAAACAAAGAUGAACCAGUCAAAACCAUAUCAGCAUUCAGACCCUCUGAAGAGACUCUACUUAGUCUGAAGGGAUUGAUAUCCUUAAUUGAACCAAAAUCAAUUGAUGAAGCUCUUCAAGACAAAGACUGGAUUUUGGCAAUGGAAGAAGAACUGAAUCAAUUCUCCAAGAAUGAUGUUUGGAAUCUUGUCAAGAAACCUUAAGGCGCUCACAUCAUUGGAACCAAAUGGGUAUUCAGAAACAAGCUGAAUGAAAAAGGAGAUGUAGUCAGAAACAAAGCAAGGCUAGUUGCUCAAGGCUACAGUCAGCAAGAAGGAAUAGAUUAUACUGAAACAUUUGCUCCAGUAGCAAGAUUGGAAGCAAUCAGACUGCUGAUCUCCUUCUCAGUGAAUCACAACAUAAUUCUUGACCAGAUGGAUGUUAAGAGUGCUUUUCUGAAUGGAUACAUCUUAGAGGAAGUAUAUGUGCACCAACCUCCUGGUUUUGAAGAUGAGAACAACCCUGACCAUGUUUUCAAAUUGAAGAAGUCACUCUAUGGUCUGAAGCAAGCUCCCAGAGCAUGGUAUGAGAGACUCAGCUCAUUUCUUCUGGAAAAUGAGUUUGUAAGGGGUAAAGUAGAUACAACUCUCUUUUGCAAAACUUACAAAGAUGAUAUCUUAAUUGUGCAAAUUUAUGUUGAUGAUAUUAUAUUUGGAUCUGCUAAUCCAUCUCUUUGCAAAGAAUUUUCUGAGAUGAUGCAAGCUGAAUUUGAAAUGAGUAUGAUGGGAGAACUCAAGUACUUUCUGGGAAUACAAGUUGAUCAAAAACCAGAAGCUACUUACAUUCAUCAGAGCAAGUACACCAAGGAACUUCUGAAGAAGUUCAAUAUGACAGAAUCAAUAAUUGCUAAGACCCCUAUGCAUCCUACAUGCAUUCUGGAGAAAGAAGAUGUCAGUGGAAAAGUAUGUCAGAAGCUCUAUCGUGGAAUGAUAGGUUCACUUCUAUACUUAACUACAUCUAGGCCAGAUAUUCUGUUUAGUGUACACUUAUGUGCUCGUUUCCAAUCAGAUCUUAGAGAAACUCACUUAACUGCUGUUAAGAGAAUUCUCAGAUAUCUGAAAGGUACCACUAACCUUGGCUUGAUGUAUAAGAAAACAUCAGAGUAUAAGCUUUCAAGUUAUUAUGAUGCUGAUUAUGCUGGAGAUAGAACUGAAAGAAAUAGUACUUAUGGAAACUGUCAAUUUAUGGGAAGUAACUUAAUCUCAUGGGCAAGCAAGAGGCAAUCUACUAUUGCACUAUCCACUGCAGAGGCAGAAUAUAUCUCAGCAGCUAUUUGCAGCACUCAGAUGCUCUGGAUGAAACAUCAGCUAGAGGAUUAUCAAAUCCUUGAGAGCAACAUUCCAAUUUACUGUGAUAACACGGCUGCAAUUUCACUCAGUAAGAAUCCAAUCUUACACUCAAGGGCUAAACACAUUGAGGUAAAGUAUCAUUUCAUUAGAGAUUAUGUUCAGAAGGGCGUACUUCUUCUGAAGUUUAUUGAUACUGACCAUCAAUGGGCAGAUAUCUUCACAAAGCCCUUAGCAGAGGAUAGAUUUAAAUUUAUAAUGAAAAAUCUGAAUAUGGACUUUUGUCCAGUAUGAAGAUGGAUCAGAACCUCUGACUAUGAUACUUCUUUAUCAGAAGAUGUCUAGUUCAGAAGGUAACUUAGUCAGAAGAUAAGUACUCAUUGGUACUUACUCUGAGAUGAGGCAGUAAGCGUGUGUCAGUUACCAUGAUACAUCGUUCCUUGUGCCUGUGCUGACAAUCUGUUGUAAUGAGGGUUGAUAUACUUUAUCUCCACCGUGUGAUGUGUGUAUUAACUGUUCAUAAUGAUGUUCUUAAUUUUCAACCGUUGAUUUUACUUUUGCUUUU
rnacentral:lncRNA from 1 species